CGCCUGUUUAUCAAAAACAUCGCCUCUUGUACCCCAAUAAGAGGUCCAGCCUGCCCAGUGACCCUGUUUAACGGCCGCGGUAUCCUAACCGUGCGAAGGUAGCGUAAUCACUUGUUCUUUAAAUAAGGACUAGUAUGAAUGGCAUCACGAAGGUUAUACUGUCUCCUUUCUCUAAUCAGUGAAACUAAUCUCCCCGUGAAGAAGCGAGGAUAUACAUAUAAGACGAGAAGACCCUAUGGAGCUUUAAACUUUGAUCAACCGCCACUGACUUUGCUAAUUUCAGAAAAUCAAAUUUAAACCCAACACCCUUGAUUUAAAGUUUUCGGUUGGGGUGACCACGGAGUAAAAUUUAACCUCCGCGCUGAAAGGACUUAAAACCUUAGCUAAGAGCUACGACUCUACGCAUCAACAACUUGACACUAAUUGACCCAAUAUAUUGACCAACGAACCAAGUUACCCUAGGGAUAACAGCGCAAUCCACUCCAAGAGCCCCUAUCGACGAGCGGGUUUACGACCUCGAUGUUGGAUCAGGGUAUCCCAGUGGUGUA
rnacentral:rRNA from 1 species